rnacentral:rRNA from 1 species
GACGAACGCUGGCGGCGUGCUUAACACAUGCAAGUCGAACGGAAAGGCCUCUUUCGGGGGGUACUCGAGUGGCGAACGGGUGAGUAACACGUGAGUAACCUGCCCUUGACUUUGGGAUAACUUCAGGAAACUGGGGCUAAUACCGGAUAGGAGCUCCUGCUGCAUGGUGGGGGUUGGAAAGUUUCGGCGGUUGGGGAUGGACUCGCGGCUUAUCAGCUUGUUGGUGGGGUAGUGGCUUACCAAGGCUUUGACGGGUAGCCGGCCUGAGAGGGUGACCGGCCACAUUGGGACUGAGAUACGGCCCAGACUCCUACGGGAGGCAGCAGUGGGGAAUAUUGCACAAUGGGUGGAAGCCUGAUGCAGCAACGCCGUGUGCGGGAUGACGGCCUCCGGGUUGUAAACCGCUUUCGCUCAUGACGAAGCUUUGUGUGACGGUAGUGGGUAAAGAAGCACCGGCUAACUACGUG